rnacentral:rRNA from 1 species
UACACACGUGCUACAAUGGUUGGUACAACGAGUUGCGAGUCGGUGACGGCGAGCUAAUCUCUUAAAGCCAAUCUCAGUUCGGAUUGUAGGCUGCAACUCGCCUACAUGAAGUCGGAAUCGCUAGUAAUCGUGGAUCAGCACGCCGCGGUGAAUACGUUCCCGGGCCUU